GAUGAAGAACGCAGCGAAAUGCGAUAAGUAGUGUGAAUUGCAGAAUUCAGUGAAUCAUCGAAUCUUUGAGCGCACAUUGCGCCCUUUGGUAUUCCUUAGGGCAUGCCUGUUCGAGCGUCAUUUAAACCUUCAAGCUAAGCUUGGUGUUGGGUGACUGUCCGCUUCACUGCGGACUCGCCUCAAAAUUAUUGGCGGCCGGUACAUUGGCUUCGAGCGCAGCAGAAACGCGAACUCGGGCCCGUCGUAUUGGCUCCCAGAAGCUAUCUUCACAAUUUUGACCUCGGAUCAGGUAGGGAUACCCGCUGAACUUAAGCAUAUCAAUAAGCGGAGGA
rnacentral:misc_RNA from 1 species